rnacentral:rRNA from 1 species
UGCAAGUAGAACGCACAGUUUAUACCGUAGCUUGCUACACCAUAGACUGUGAGUUGCGAACGGGUGAGUAACGCGUAGGUAACCUGCCUGGUAGCGGGGGAUAACUAUUGGAAACGAUAGCUAAUACCGCAUAAUAUUAAUUAUUGCAUGAUAAUUGAUUGAAAGAUGCAACUGCAUCACUACCAGAUGGACCUGCGUUGUAUUAGCUAGUAGGUGAGGUAACGGCUCACCUAGGCGACGAUACAUAGCCGACCUGAGAGGGUGAUCGGCCACACUGGGACUGAGACACGGCCCAGACUCCUACGGGAGGCAGCAGUAGGGAAUCUUCGGCAAUGGACGAAAGUCUGACCGAGCAACGCCGCGUGAGUGAAGAAGGUUUUCGGAUCGUAAAGCUCUGUUGUAAGAGAAGAACGGGUGUGAGAGUGGAAAGUUCACACUGUGACGGUAUCUUACCAGAAAGGGACGGCUAACUACGUGCCAGCAGCCGCGGUAAUACGUAGGUCCCGAGCGUUGUCCGGAUUUAUUGGGCGUAAAGCGAGCGCAGGCGGUUAGAUAAGUCUGAAGUUAAAGGCUGUGGCUUAACCAUAGUACGCUUUGGAAACUGUUUAACUUGAGUGCAGAAGGGGAGAGUGGAAUUCCAUGUGUAGCGGUGAAAUGCGUAGAUAUAUGGAGGAACACCGGUGGCGAAAGCGGCUCUCUGGUCUGUAACUGACGCUGAGGCUCGAAAGCGUGGGGAGCGAACAGGAUUAGAUACCCUGGUAGUCCACGCCGUAAA